AGCGCAUGGCCCGUGGCUUAGUUGGUCAAAGUGCCUGUCUAGUAAACAGGAAUCCUGGGUUCAAAUCCCAGCGGUGCCU